rnacentral:rRNA from 1 species
CUUGGGGGGGGCCUACACAUGCAAGUCGAGCGGUAGAGAGAAGCUUGCUUCUCUUGAGAGCGGCGGACGGGUGAGUAAUGCCUAGGAAUCUGCCUGGUAGUGGGGGAUAACGUUCGGAAACGGACGCUAAUACCGCAUACGUCCUACGGGAGAAAGCAGGGGACCUUCGGGCCUUGCGCUAUCAGAUGAGCCUAGGUCGGAUUAGCUAGUUGGUGAGGUAAUGGCUCACCAAGGCGACGAUCCGUAACUGGUCUGAGAGGAUGAUCAGUCACACUGGAACUGAGACACGGUCCAGACUCCUACGGGAGGCAGCAGUGGGGAAUAUUGGACAAUGGGCGAAAGCCUGAUCCAGCCAUGCCGCGUGUGUGAAGAAGGUCUUCGGAUUGUAAAGCACUUUAAGUUGGGAGGAAGGGCAGUUACCUAAUACGUAAUUGUUUUGACGUUACCGACAGAAUAAGCACCGGCUAACUCUGUGCCAGCAGCCGCGGUAAUACAGAGGGUGCAAGCGUUAAUCGGAAUUACUGGGCGUAAAGCGCGCGUAGGUGGUUUGUUAAGUUGGAUGUGAAAUCCCCGGGCUCAACCUGGGAACUGCAUUCAAAACUGACUGACUAGAGUAUGGUAGAGGGUGGUGGAAUUUCCUGUGUAGCGGUGAAAUGCGUAGAUAUAGGAAGGAACACCAGUGGCGAAAGGCGACCACCUGGACUAAUACUGACACUGAGGUGCGAAAGCGUGGGGAAGCAAACAGGAUUAGAUACCCUGGUAGUCCACGCCGUAAACGAUGUCAACU